UUAAGCUAGAAAGGGCAUACGGUGGAUGCCUAGGCACUAAGAGUCGAAGAAGGACGCGGUAAGCUGCGAAAAGCUGUGAGGAGCUGCAAGCAAGCUAAGAAUCACAGAUAUCCGAAUGGGACAACCCGUCAGUGAUAAUACGCUGACAUCGUAUAUUGAGUCAAGUAGAUAUACGAAGACAACCCGGGGAACUGAAACAUCUAAGUACCCGGAGGAAAAGAAAGCAAAAGCGAUUCCCCCAGUAGCGGCGAGCGAAAAGGGAGCAGCCCAAACCGAUUCUUCGGAAUCGGGGUAGAGGACUUCCAAAAAGAAUGGAUGGUUAGCAGAAUGAUCUGGGAAGGUCAGUCGAAGAAGGUAAUAACCCUGUAUGCGAAAGCCAGAAAUUUGGGGAAGGAUCCGGAGUACCACGAAGCACGUGAAAUUUCGUGGGAAGCAGGGGGGACCACCCUCCAAGGCUAAAUACUCCUUAGUGACCGAUAGUGAACAAGUACCGUGAGGGAAAGGUGAAAAGAACCCCGGAAGGGGAGUGAAAAAGAACCUGAAACCGUAUGCUUACAAGCUGUCACAGCACCAUACGAGUGUAGUGGCGUACUUUUUGUAGAACGGACCGGCGAGUUACGAUGUCAAGCGAGGUUAAGAUGAGAAGUCGGAGCCGAAGCGAAAGCGAGUCUGAAGAGGGCGAAAGUUUGACAUAGUAGACCCGAAACCGGGUGAUCUACCCAUGAGCAGGAUGAAGCGUUAGUAAAAUAACGUGGAGGUCCGAACCAGGUAUCGUUGAAAAGAUAUUGGAUGACUUGUGGGUAGGGGUGAAAUUCCAAUCGAACCCGGAGAUAGCUGGUUCUCCUCGAAAUAGCUUUAGGGCUAGCCUUGAAUUAGAUUAUGGGAGGUAGAGCACUGAAUAGGCUAGGGGGCUUCACCGCCUACCGAACCUUAUCAAACUACGAAUGCCGAUAAUUGAUGUUCAGGAGUCAGACUGUGGGGGAUAAGCUUCAUGGUCAAAAGGGAAACAGCCCAGACCGCCGGCUAAGGUCCCAAAGUGUGUGUUAAGUGGAAAAGGAUGUGAAAUCGCUCAGACAACCAGGAUGUUGGCUCAGAAGCAGCCACCAUUAAAAGAGUGCGUAAUAGCUCACUGGUCCAGGGGUUUUGCGCCGAAAAUGUAACGGGGCUCAAACACACCACCGAAGCCGCGGAAUGUUUUAGGACAUUGGUAGAGGAGCGUUCUUAAUGCGACGAAGGCGUACCGAGAGGAGCGUUGGAGCGUUAAGAAGUGAGAAUGCCGGUAUUAGUAUGCGAAAAGGCAGGUGAGAAUCCUGCCCGCCGAAAAUCUAAGGAUUCCUGGGGAAGGCUCGUCCGCCCAGGGUAAGUCGGGACCUAAGGCGAGGCCGAAAGGCGUAGUCGAUGGGAAACUGGUAGAUAUUCCAGUACCAGCGGAGGUCAAUUGAGUGAAGUAGUGAAGCAGAAGGAUAGGGAGAGCGCCCAGUUGGUGAGGCGUUUAAGUAAGUAGGGUGAUGUGCAGGCAAAUCCACACAUCGAGAGCCUGAGAUACGAAUACGAGUGAAAACUAGUAGCGAAGUCCCCGAUUCCCGGCUGCCAAGAAAAGCUGCUAACGAGACCGAAGGUGCCCGUACCGCAAACCGACACAGGUAGAUGGGGUGAGAAACCUAAGGCGCGCGAGAAAACUCUUGUUAAGGAACUCGGCAAAAUGAACCCGUAACUUCGGGAGAAGGGUUGCUCAUUAGUGUGAGUAUCCGUGCGAUACAGAGCACAGAUGAGUCGCAGAGAAAAGGUCCAGGCGACUGUUUAGCAAAAACACAGGUCAUUGCAAAACCGCAAGGUGAAGUAUAAUGGCUGACGCCUGCCCGGUGCUGGAAGGUUAAGGGGAAGAGUGAGAGCUUUGAACCGAAGCCCCAGUAAACGGCGGCCGUAACUAUAACGGUCCUAAGGUAGCGAAAUUCCUUGUCGGGUAAGUUCCGACCCGC
rnacentral:rRNA from 1 species